rnacentral:lncRNA from 10 species
CUUUGCUAAGGAUACAUCUAGCUCUUUGGAAAUAACAGUAUCUAACAGCAUGUUAAAAUAGGAAACUUCUUGCCCCAGCUUUUGGUGAGGUCCCCAAAGGCUCAGAAACAAAAUUAAAGGUUCAAAUUUGCAAAAAUGAUGUUUAAAAACUGUUUUUAUGAGCCUUAGUUAACAAUCAGUCAAGGGUUGGUAGUAGAAGAGGCUGAAAUAUGUGAAAGCUGGAUAAUUGAGGCAUUCUCCCACCUACUCCUCUUUGCCAUAAGUCUAAAAAGAGGAGAUUCGAGAAGACCACCUGUAGAGCUACCUAUUGUGUGAGAAGCAAAGAAGCUGGUGUCUGACUCAAGGCUGACUAGAGCAAAUGCAAAAAUCCAUGCUGUGAGCUGCUUGCAAUGUCAGGACAAGAAAAGCACAGCAAAGAAGGCAGCUAUUCUUUCAUAAUUUAGAUGGGCAAUGAUGCACGAGUUGCCUGAGAGAAAAAUGGAUGAUCAAGAAGAAGUUCAACAGGUCAAAGUCCCCUGAAGAGCUCAUUCCCAAAAAAUAAAAAUAAGAAACAAAACAAACAGCCAGGGUAAGGGGACCUCAGCAAAAAGAAGCUAUGGGUGGUACCUUUGGGUAUUGAUGCCUGUUGUGAGACCUCGAUUCUUUUCUUCUUAGUUUGAAAUAAUUUACACAAGCAACACACAGGAAAAGAGAUGCAACAUAGAGUAAUUUAUUGCAAAGGAAAAAAAAUAUUUUGAAAGUUAAGUGCAGAAUAGGCAAUACACACUGAGAGGGGAGUCAGAGUGACCUGCCCGUGAGGAUGAGACAGCAAAGACUGGCACUAGGGAGACUCCCUUUAUGGGAAUCUUACGUAAUCAUCCAUGAGCAAGUGGGAAGAGGUGUCUGGGUGGCCCUCUGGGCACACAUGCACAGUAGCUGUACAUGCCUGUUCAUAUGUCACGUGUCUCAUUAGCAUCUUAAAUCUCCACCCAGGGUGUGUGUUUUUUAGUAUUAUAGUGAGCACAGGGUCAGUCUGAGGACAGAUAAAAUCAAAGUGCACAUGCUCCCUACCGGGGAAAUUCCCUACUGGAGAUAGCUUUGCUUGAAUAAGCUGGACUACAGUGCAAAUGUGGGGGGUUAUUGUUUUGACUGUAUGGUCACCAUGAUGGAUGCAUCCCAAGGACAUGGCUAUUUCCAUGACUACCUAUCCUGCCCCACAGAGGCUCUGAGGAUGAAUCACAAGAAGUUAGCUGGAGAGUGAAUCUCCCACAUGAGAGGAUUGGAGCAGAGGGCAGCCAAGAAUUCACCCUGCAAAAAAAAACCUAUUUGAACAUCCAUCAUUCUCAAAGAAAAAAAAACAAUGGUAUAUCUACUACGUAUGCUUCAUUUAAAAAUUUUGAAUUAUUAUCCAUAAGUAUGACUGGUCAUAGGAGGGGUGUGUGUGUGUGUGUGUGUGUGUGUGUGUGUGUGUCUUUGUUAGGUUUUGAUAAUGCGUUUAUGUUGGCUUUGUACAAGGAAUUUUCUGUUGUGGCCCAAGUAAUAAUGUUUUCUUACAGUCUUACCAUCUUAGAUGAGACUUAAAGAGGCCCAGAGAACAGCCUGUGUUCUUGGUCCUUGCAUUUUCAAGAUCAUCCAUCUGUAAUCUUCACACCUGAACUGAAACGAGCCAGAGCUCAUGGCCUGCUAUGGUUUGAAUACUUGUGUCCCUGCCAAGAUUCACACGAUGAAACCUAUUCACCAAUGUGAUGAUGGUGGGAGGUAUGGCCUUUGAGAGGUGAUUAGGGCAUGAAGGCAGAGCCUUGAUGAAUGGAAUUAGUGCCCCAUGAUAAAGGUCUGCAGAGAGCUGCUGCUCCCCUUCCACCAUGUGAGACACAGCAAGAAGAUGCCAUCUAUGAGAAAGGGCCUUCACCAGACACUCAAUCUGCCAGCACCUUGAUCUCGGACUUCCCAGUUCGAGAAAUUCUGGAAGAAAUUUAUUUUUCCAGAAAGGGGAAAAAUAAAUUUCUGUUGUUUAUAAGCUAUCCAGUUUAUGGUAUUUUGUUACAGCAAUUCAAACAGACUAAGACAGGCU